GAGCUGUAAGUAAGCUUUGAUCCAGAGAUUUCCGAAUGGGGAAACCCAGCAUGAGUUAUGUCAUGUUAUCGAUAUGUGAAUACAUAGCAUAUCAGAAGGCACACCCGGAGAACUGAAACAUCUUAGUACCCGGAGGAAGAGAAAGAAAAUUCGAUUCCCUUAGUAGCGGCGAGCGAAACGGGAAGAGCCCAAACCAACAAGCUUGCUUGUUGGGGUUGUAGGACACUCUAUACGGAGUUACAAAGGACGACAUUAGACGAAUCAUCUGGAAAGAUGAAUCAAAGAAGGUAAUAAUCCUGUAGUCGAAAAUGUUGUCUCUCUUGAGUGGAUCCUGAGUACGACGGAGCACGUGAAAUUCCGUCGGAAUCUGGGAGGACCAUCUCCUAAGGCUAAAUACUCUCUAGUGACCGAUAGUGAACCAGUACCGUGAGGGAAAGGUGAAAAGCACCCCGGAAGGGGAGUGAAAUAGAACCUGAAACCGUGUGCUUACAAGUAGUCAGAGCCCGUUAAUGGGUGAUGGCGUGCCUUUUGUAGAAUGAACCGGCGAGUUACGAUUUGAUGCAAGGUUAAGCAGUAAAUGUGGAGCCGUAGCGAAAGCGAGUCUGAAUAGGGCGUUUAGUA
rnacentral:rRNA from 1 species